rnacentral:rRNA from 1 species
UAAAGGGCGCGUAGGCGGGAUGGCAAGUCGGUCGUGAAAUCUCUCGGCUCAACCGAGAAACGUCGGCCGAUACUGCCGUUCUUGAGGGAUGCAGAGGAGACUGGAAUUCCCGGUGUAGCGGUGAAAUGUGUAGAGAUCGGGAGGAACACCGGUGGCGAAGGCGGGUCUCUGGGCAUUUCCUGACGCUGAGGCGCGAAAGCGUGGGGAGCAAACGGGAUUAGAUACCCCGGUAGUCCACGCUGUAAACGAUGACGACUAGGUGUGGGGUGGUUCAGUCCAUUCCGUGCCGCAGCUAACGCAUUAAGUCGUCCGCCUGGGGAGUACGGCCGCAAGGUUGAAACUCAAAGGAAUUGACGGGGGCCCGCACAAGCGGUGGAGCAUGUGGUUCAAUUCGAUGCAGAGCGAAGAACCUUACCUGGGCUUGACAUGUAGGAAGUAGAAACCCGAAAGGGCGACGACCUGUUAAGUCAGGAGCCUACACAGGUGGUGCAUGGCUGUCAUCAGCUCGUGCCGUGAGGUGUUGGGUUAAGUCCCGCAACGAGCGCAACCCUUACCCUAUGUUGCCAACGGUUCGGCCGGGCACUCUUAGGGGACUGCCGGCGAAGAGCUGGAGGAAGGGGGGGAUGACGUCAAGUCCGUAUGCCCCUUAUGUCCAGGGCUACACACAUGCUACAAUGCGCGGUACAGAGGGUUGCCAACUCGCAAGAGGGAGCCAAUCCCCCAAAGCCGCGCUCAGUUCGGAUUGCAGGCUGCAACUCGCCUGCAUGAAGUCGGAAUCGCUAGUAAGCGCAGAUCAGCAGGCUGCGCUGAAUACGUUCCCGGGCCUUGUACACACCGCCCGUA